GAACGAACGCUGGCGGCAGGCCUAACACAUGCAAGUCGGAACGAGUAUCUUCGGAUCUAGUGGACGGACGGGUGAGUAACGCGUGGGAACGUGCCCUUCUCUACGGAAUAGUCCCUGGGAAACUGGGGUUUAAUACCGUAUACGCCCUUACGGGGAAAGAAUUUCGGGAAGGACUCGGCCCGCGUUGGAUUAGGUAGUUGGUGGGUAAUGGCCUACCAAGCCGACGAAUCCGAUAGCUGGUUUGAGAGGAUGAUCAGCCACACUGGGACU
rnacentral:rRNA from 1 species